UUGGUUAUGCUAAUAAGAGCGUAUGGUGGAUGCCUUGGCACUAAGAGCCGAUGAAAGACGUGAUAAGCUGCGAAAAGCUUCGGGGAGGAGCAAAUAUCCAUUGAUCCGGAGAUAUCUGAAUGGGGAAACCUACUUGAGAAAACCUCAAGUAUCCACAGCCCAAUCCAUAAGCUGUGGAAGGGAACCCGGUGAACUGAAACAUCUAAGUAGCCGGAGGAAGAGAAAACAACAUGUGAUUCCGUAAGUAGCGGCGAGCGAACGCGGAAGAGCCCAAACCGGAGUGCGUGCACUCCGGGGUUCGGACUGCAGGAUUGACGAGUGAGCCUAGUAGAAUGGUUUUGGGAAAGCCAGCCAGAGAGGGUGAAAGCCCCGUACACGAAAGGCAAGCGAGCAUGGCAGGAUCCAGAGUACCACGAGACACGUGAAACCUUGUGGGAAUGAGCGGGGACCACCCCGUAAGGCUAAAUACUCCUUAGUGACCGAUAGCGCAUAGUACUGUGAAGGAAAGGUGAAAAGGACCCCGGGAGGGGAGUGAAAGAGAACCUGAAACCAUAUGUUUACAAGCUGUGGAACAUCUUUAUAUGAUGAACCGCGUACUUUUUGUAGAACGGUCCGGCGAGUUACGCUGGCUGGCGAGGUUAAGGGCUGAAGGCCUGGAGCCGAAGGGAAACCGAGUCUGAACAGGGCGAAAUAGUCAGUCGGAGUAGACCCGAAACCGGGUGAUCUAUCCAUGUCCAGGUUGAAGUUGCCGUAAAAGGCAAUGGAGGACCGAACCCACAUCCGUUGAAAAGGGUGGGGAUGAGGUGUGGAUAGGGGAGAAAUUCCAAUCGAACCCGGAGAUAGCUGGUUCUCCUCGAAAUAGCUUUAGGGCUAGCCUCAUGCAAGUCUUACGGAGGUAGAGCACUGAAUUCCUAAGGGGGCGUCAAAGCUUACCAAGGGAUAUCAAACUCCGAAUGCCGUGUAGAUGGUGCAUGGGAGUCAGACUAUCCGAGAUAAGUUGGGUAGUCAAAAGGGAAAGAGCCCAGACCUACAGCUAAGGUCCCAAAAUGUGUGUUAAGUGGAAAAGGAUGUGGGAUUUCGAAGACAACUAGGAUGUUGGCUUAGAAGCAGCCAUCCAUUAAAAGAGUGCGUAAUAGCUCACUAGUCGAGAGGUCCUGCGCCGAAAAUGUCCGGGGCUGAAACACACUACCGAAGCUUAGGAAUUGACGAAUGUUAAUUGGUAGAGGAGCAUUCUUAACGGGGCGAAGCUGUACCGGAAGGAGCAGUGGACUGUUAAGAAGAGAGAAUGCCGGAAUGAGUAGCGAGAGGAAGGUGAGAAUCCUUCCGGCCGAAUAUCUAAGGUUUCCAGAGUAAAGCUGAUCUGCUCUGGGUAAGUCGGGGCCUAAGGCGAGGUCGAAAGACGUAGUCGAUGGAUAACAGGUAAAGAUUCCUGUACUAUAUCAUAACAGAACUGUGGGGACGCAGACAGAGAGCAUAAGCCGGGAAUGGAAAGACCGGUACAAGCGAGGUAGGAGUGCAUCAGGCAAAUCCGGUGCACAAUCUGAAGACGUGAUGUGGGGCGUAAAGCCGGAAGUAUGUGAGCUGGCUGCCAAGAAAAGCCGCUAUUGUUUAUGAUAUACCCGUACCGUAAACCGACACAGGUGGAUGAGGAGAGAAUCCUAAGGCCGACGGGAGAAGCAUUGUUAAGGAACUCGGCAAAAUGACUCCGUAACUUCGGGAGAAGGAGUGCCAUGUAAAAGUGGCCGCAGAGAAUUGGCCCAAGCAACUGUUUAGCAAAAACACAGGUCUAUGCAAAACCGAAAGGUGAGGUAUAUGGGCUGACGCCUGCCCGGUGCUGGAAGGUUAAGGGGAGAGGUUAGUCGUAAGGCGAAGCUUUGAACUUAAGCCCCAGUAAACGGCGGCCGUAACUAUAACGGUCCUAAGGUAGCGAAAUUCCUUGUCGGGUAAGUUCCGACCCGCACGAAAGGCGUAAUGAUUUGGGCACUGUCUCAACAAUGCACCCGGUGAAAUUGAAAUACCAGUGAAGAUGCUGGUUACCUGCGCCAGGACGGAAAGACCCCAUGGAGCUUUACUCCAGCUUGAUACUGGGAUUCGAUAUUGCAUGUACAGGAUAGGUGGGAGACUGAGAACUGAUGACGCCAGUUGUCAGGGAGUCACUGUUGGGAUACCACCCUUGUAGUAUUGGAUUUCUAACCAGCAGCCGUGAACCGGCUGGGGGACAAUGUCAGGUGGGGAGUUUGACUGGGGCGGUCGCCUCCGAAAGGGUAUCGGAGGCGCUCAAAGGUUCCCUCAGAAUGGUUGGAAACCAUUCGAAGAGUGCAAAGGCAGAAGGGAGCUUGACUGCGACACCGACGGGUGGAGCAGGUACGAAAGUAGGACUUAGUGAUCCGGUGGUAUAAAGUGAGAUUGCCAUCGCUCAACGGAUAAAAGCUACCCUGGGGAUAACAGGCUUAUCACUCCCAAGAGUUCACAUCGACGGAGUGGUUUGGCACCUCGAUGUCGGCUCAUCGCAUCCUGGGGCUGAAGUAGGUCCCAAGGGUUGGGCUGUUCGCCCAUUAAAGCGGUACGCGAGCUGGGUUCAGAACGUCGUGAGACAGUUCGGUCCCUAUCCGGCGUGGGCGUAGGAUAUUUGAGAGGAGCUGCCCUUAGUACGAGAGGACCGGGGUGGACUGGCCGCUGGUGGAUCUGUUGUAUUACCAAAUGCAUAGCAGAGUAGCCAAGCCGGGACGGGAUAAACGCUGAAGGCAUCUAAGCGUGAAGCCCCCCUCAAGAUGAGAUAUCCCAUAACGUCAAGUUAGUAAGACCCCUUGAAGACGACGAGGUAGAUAGGGCAGAGGUGGAAGUGCGGUAACGCAUGGAGCUGACUGUUACUAAUAGGUCGAGGGCAUAACCAAG
rnacentral:rRNA from 1 species